rnacentral:rRNA from 1 species
GGAUGCGAUCAUAGCAGCACUAAAGCACCGGACCCCAUCAGAACUCCGAAGUUAAGCGUGCUUGGGCGAGAGUAGUACUUGGAUGGGUGACCUCUUGGGAAGUCCUCGUGUUGCAUUCC